rnacentral:rRNA from 1 species
UACGAAGGGGGCUAGCGUUGCUCGGAAUCACUGGGCGUAAAGGGCGCGUAGGCGGCCAUUCAAGUCGGGGGUGAAAGCCUGUGGCUCAACCACAGAAUUGCCUUCGAUACUGGUUGGCUUGAGUUUGGUAGAGGUUGGUGGAACUGCGAGUGUAGAGGUGAAAUUCGUAGAUAUUCGGAAGAACACCAGUGGCGAAGGCGACUUACUGGACACAUAUUGACGCUGAGGUGCGAAAGCGUGGGGAGCAAACAGG